UAACAUCAAUCUGCACUAGUGGAAGACACACGAGGUCCAUCCCAAAGUCUCUACCAAAAAUACUCAAAGGGCAAUUUAAACAAACUGAAGUAGUAGUCACUGAACCCUUCGCAGGAGUAUCAAUCACCAUACUACCACGCAUCUCAGAUAUCUCUAACUUAAGUUUCACAGCACAAUCCAAAGAUAUAAAGGAAUGAGUCGCACCUGUGUCAAUAACAGCUACAAGAGGAAAGCCA
rnacentral:lncRNA from 1 species